UACGGAGGAUGCGAGCGUUAUCCGGAUUUAUUGGGUUUAAAGGGUGCGUAGGCGGACGCUUAAGUCAGCGGUAAAAUUGCGGGGCUCAACCUCGUCGAGCCGUUGAAACUGGGUGCCUUGAGUGGGCGAGAAGUACGCGGAAUGCGUGGUGUGGCGGUGAAAUGCAUAGAUAUCACGCAGAACUCCGAUUGCGAAGGCAGCGUACCGGCGCCCUACUGACGCUGAAGCACGAAGGCGUGGGUAUCGAACAGG
rnacentral:rRNA from 1 species